rnacentral:lncRNA from 1 species
UUUUUGAAUGUCAUUGCCUUUGGGUCGACCCUCUCAGUGUUUGGGUCGACUCAAGUUUGGGUCGACUCAACUUCCUCUUGGGUCGACCCUCUCAGUGUUUCCAGAGAACUGUUUUCUUGAGGUUUGAGAGGCUUGAGGUUUGGGUCGACUCAUCCUUUCCUUGGGUCGACCCAACUACUGUUCAUCCGUGCCAUUUUUGCAGAAGUGUGCCAGAUGUUUUCUUGAUGUGCCGGGGUCGACCCAAUCAACCUUGGGGUCGACUCAAUCCACACUUUGCUGCAACUCAAGGUUAGAUUCAUCCAUAUAAACAAUGAAAUGCAUCUUUAUCUUAUUAUACGAAUUGUACUGAGAGUAACAGACUUAUAAAUGAUGUAUCGAAUUAACUUGUAACAUACUCUUGAUUAUUG